UGGGGAGUACGACCGCAAGGUUGAAACUCAAAGGAAUUGACGGGGGCCCGCACAAGCGGUGGAGCAUGUGGUUUAAUUCGAAGCAACGCGAAGAACCUUACCAGGUCUUGACAUCUUUUGAUCACCUGAGAGAUCAGGUUUCCCCUUCGGGGGCAAAAUGACAGGUGGUGCAUGGUUGUCGUCAGCUCGUGUCGUGAGAUGUUGGGUUAAGUCCCGCAACGAGCGCAACCCUUAUGACUAGUUGCCAGCAUUUAGUUGGGCACUCUAGUAAGACUGCCGGUGACAAACCGGAGGAAGGUGRGUAUGACGUCAAAUCAUCAUGCCCCUUAUGACCUGGGCUACACACGUGCUACAAUGGAUGGUACAACGAGUUGCGAGACCGCGAGGUCAAGCUAAUCUCUUAAAGCCAUUCUCAGUUCGGACUGUAGGCUGCAACUCGCCUACACGAAGUCGGAAUCGCUAGUAAUCGCGGAUCAGCACGCCGCGGUGAAUACGUUCCCGGGCCUUGUACACACCGCCCGUCACACCAUGAGAGUUUGUAAC
rnacentral:rRNA from 2 species